AGACCAGGCAGGAUGAGGGGAGAGGGGGUGAGCAGCCAGCUUAACACACUCCACCCUCUGCGUCACGCUGGAGUGUGUGCUCAGGGCUACACAGGUCUGAUUAACAACGGCUCAGUGGCUCUUUCUGUACCAAUAAACCGCCCACAUCCCUUUUUCCUCCCUCUCUCUCUCUCUUUUUCUCCCUCUCCCUCUUGUAUUUCUCCGGCCACCUCACCGGCUAUUUCCCUCCAAACACGUUGUACUUUUUGUUUUCCUGCCGUAUUUGUGCUCCGAGAACUCUGGGGUGACUCACCUCCACCCGGUGACUGACAACAUGUCUUGGACUUCAGCGAGCUCAUUAGGAUUCAGAGGCAUCACUGACACGGCUGCCGUGACGUCAGUGUCUCUGUGGAAACUCAUUCGGGGGGAGCAGGGUCAGAUUCACAUUCUGCCACGAUCACGUUACCAUUCAUCCCGUCAGCUUGUCAGACACCACACUUGGAAUAAUUUUGUCGUAUAUUCUCGUAAUAAGCAGAAUUGUUGUCCUGUGACUGUACAUGAUGAACAGUCUGGAACACCUGCAGGGAACAAGUAUGGGAGGAAAAAUUCAGACUGCAGCACAAGGUGACAAAACACCUGACUGGCUCUCUAAUGUGUGUUUAAUUGUCCAAACCGGAGUCAUAUUGUAUCAGAACGCCUGCUAGCUCAUGUGAGCAGGGGGGAGGAUUUUCAGCAUCAGAUUAGCAGCCUGACAAACCUGCUCUGCGAUAUACACAAGUGGACAUGGGUUUUAUUACUCUAUAAUCACCUCGACUGAGCCGGGCGGAGGCUGAGACACUCUCCUCCCCGGAGAGACGAGGGAUGAUGAGCCCGUCUCCUCGCUGACAUUAUGUUUGGACAGUCGGGGUUGCUCAUUCUCAUAUAUAGUGGCGGAGGAAGAUUAUAAUUAUCUAAAGUGCUGUCCUCACGCUCAGGGUACACGGUGUUACAUGAGAGAAAUUACACAUUUUCGAUACCAAGCUGAGUGAUUGCAUUACGCAAAACAGUGUGAUAAGAUGUUUAUUGUUUAAAAGGGCCCAAUUAUGUCAAUUACAGCAUCUUCAGCCUGAGAUCUGCGACUGUUUGGUUAAAAAUAUGGUAAUUUCAUUUGCAUUUGUUGAGCGCUCAAACUGGCAGAUUCACUGCGGCGGGAACUGCUGCCUGCUCAGCUUCAUAUUGCGUUGGGUAGCUUUUGGCUGACAACAACUUACAACAGUAGUGUUGUAAAAGAUCCUCUGAGCUUGUUUCCCUACCUCAUACAUAAUGUUCCCUUAAUGUGUAAUUGUAUCACUAUAGCAAAUAACUGCUAUCUAGUUGAUCAAGAACAUUUUUAUUUUGCCAGAUGGCCGCGACAUCUAUGCUAUGCUCCACAAGACCACCGUUGAUGGCUGGCGAUGGCUGCGAUGUUUUAAUCAGUCAUUGUAGAUUCCGGUCCGCGUGCACUGGUGCAAGACCAAUUUCCCUUCAGGACAAUGAAGUUCAAGUUGGAGCUGCAACAUAACGAGCACUGCUCUUGAUGCCCUGCCAUCUUUGUUGUAACUUGAAUACAACAUCAAUUUGCUAUUGCGGCAACAGUUCGAUGCUUUUCUCCGCUUCACUUCAUGUAGUAUUGCAAAUCUCCAACUUACUGUAAUUGCUUCUGCUCUAGAUGAGGAUGUUAAGACACUGUAAUUGAGCAGCUCUUUACUUACAUAAGGUCUAUAAGGAGCCACAUAAACACGUCCGUCAGAUCAGCAGCGUCAGUUUCCAUGGUGACGUUACCCAACAGGCGGUACAGCAGAUUGAUCACCUCUCUGCCUCAAAUUCGAGUGGCGUGAACAAGAAAACUCAAGCAGUCUGCUCAGUUGUCCCCAAAUACUGAACAGCUGUUUGCAAGACACAACCCUAUCAGCAAAUUGUGGUAAUUAGCCAGGAACGUCUGCGAUCAUGUACUUCCUGUGUGGAUGACGUCAGCUCUGGUCGCGCCGGGAUGAAAUGACUGGGCUCUCUGUGCUUGUCAGAGCCACUCGGAACAGCAGAGAAUCAAAGGGAAAUUCAAGAAUGCAGAAUCAGAGCGUGAAACCCAGAAAGGGCAGCAGCUGAUUUGCCUUCAUCUUGGCGAGAUGUACACGUCUGUAACAGCGUCCGGAUGACUGCUUCCUUUGAUGGAUAUGCAGGCUGAUGGAGAGAUGCAGGCCAGUGCAACAGAGACGAUGCUGUCCAAUGGCCUCUCUGUUAAGUGUACAAACACACUCAUACACACACACACACACACACACACACACACACACACACACACACACACACUGGCAACAGGAAAACAAUCCUCUUUAAAGUGUCAGUCUGAACUGUAGGGGCACAGCAGGUCUGGUACCCCUGCUGUGGGUGCUGGCCUCAUUUCCACUGCUCAUUUCCUGCCCUGGGCACUACCUUCCUACAGCCCCUCCGUGACUUCUGUGUCCAUCCAAAAAAAAAUGCCCACCUCCUGUUUUAUUCUGCUCUGCGUAACACACUACUAUCUUGGAUUAACACAGUGAGAACAAUAGAUCUGACUGAAAAACUGAGUAUCAAAACAUUAGUGCUGCCCAAAGUGGGGCCCAUGGGCCAAAGUCAGCCUGUCAUGAGGUCUGAUUUGGCCUGCCAGAUGUUGCUACUGGAAAUUUUAUUUUGUAUAAUCUGAGCAUGGCGACCAGAUUGACUUUGGGGGUCAGUGGAUUAAGGGUAUUUUGGAUCCAGGCACCAUUUGUGCAUCAAAAAAAAAUAAAACAUGAAUUACAUUAAAUUUUGUUUUAAGGCCCUCCAAAUUAUCAUCAUUAGCAAAACAUUGUGUGAUUUACCUUUUGAAUUUAAGGAUUUGCUGCUUUUCUGUGUUACUUAUGAUAGUAAAUCAUGAGUUUUGGGGGUGUUGUCACCAAUUUAAACAGUCUAGGCUCUGGAAAAUGUUAAAAAGUAUUUUUUACAUACUUUGUAUUUAUUUUUAUACAUUAAAUAAUAAAUUGGAAAUGACUAAUAUUGGUAAGUUGCAGCCCUACUUGUGAUCCUUAACCAAGCAUUGUCUGCCUGUGACACCUGCUCACAUGUUGAAGCUAAAAUUCUGUUUCCUAUCUUGUUAUUGACUGACACCUCAGAAUUAUUAUACGACCCCUUGGCAGGUCCAGAACUCCCCCUUUAGUUUCUUGUCUCAGCUAGUUUCUUUCUUCAUCUAUCUCAGUUUCUCUGACAUUUCAUCCAUCAUGCCAGCUCAUCCUGUCGGAUGUUCAAUGUCUACCAGGAUUGUUACCACAGUUAAGUUGCCAGACAACGCUGACAGUUACAAAAGUAAAGCUUUCAGCUGCUGCCAAAGUGUUUUGACUUACAGUCGAUGGACCCGUCCAGUCUCACCUCCGUCUAGCUGCUGUCAGGAUACGGCAGCUUGCCAAAGGCAGAAACACCACCGACAGAAAAAGGUCCUGCUGGCUAAGAGAAACUGUCUGACCAAUCGAGUGUUUUACAGAAACAACUCUGAAACAACUUUGAAAGGAGUCUCUGGAUUGACUGCUCGGCCAAAUUGUUCUCUGCGGAUGAAAGAGCGCACGCGUCAUGUCAUCUGUCGUACUGAAUAGACUUGAAGCUCCUGUAACAGUAUGGAGUCAGUCAUUUAAAAACACUACAUUAGUCUACUGGUGCUGCUGCAUUGCAGUUCAAUUUUGUUUUUUGCCAGCUGAGAGGUCUGCACAGUGUUCACAUUACCUUGAAAGUCUGACUCAUUCCUCAGGCUGCGGUGCUGUCUGACUUGCAGGGCAACAUGAGAGCUCAGAGAUGGCAUUAGCACAGGAAAUGGACAGGUAGUAUUUACAGACAUGGCUUUAGAAGGCUGG